AAUAGCACCUGUACGACGUAUAAAAAGCUUGCCACUCGGAUGUCAGAUACAGAUUCCACAACUUGGGUAGUACAGAGAAGUGAAAAAUACGAAAAGAAAAAAUGAAGAAUUUAUUCCUAAUUUUCUUGGUAACAAUUGUGCUGGCAAUCGGGGGCGUCAUUGCAUAUGAUCCAAUGACUAAACCUGCGAAUAGAUGGAACUAUGAUCAGAAGCAGUAUCCCGUACCGAAACCUAUGAAACGUUGCUCGUUUGUCAACGGAAAAUGGAUCGGAUUAUGUCGCUGAAAGGAAACCAACUUAUGAAAGCUUGAAUAAAAUAUAAAAGCAUUUUUCCAAUAA